rnacentral:rRNA from 1 species
UACGUAGGUGGCGAGCGUUGUCCGGAUUUAUUGGGCGUAAAGGGAACGCAGGCAGUCUUUUAAGUCUGAUGUGAAAGCCUUCGGCUUAACCGAAGUAGUGCAUUGGAAACUGGAAGACUUGAGUGCAGAAGAGGAGAGUGGAACUCCAUGUGUAGCGGUGAAAUGCGUAGAUAUAUGGAAGAACACCAGUGGCGAAAGCGGCUCUCUGGUCUGUAACUGACGCUGAGGUUCGAAAGCGUGGGUAGCAAACAGG